GAAACAUCGCAAAAAAGCAUGAAUAAAGACACUGGUGCUGGACCCAGUGAAGUUACUUAUGCUGAGAUCAAACUGAAACCAAAACAGAAAGCAAAGAAAAAAGAAGAGAAGAGCAGUGUGGGGGCAGACACUGUAUACUCAGA